AAAUUGAAGAGUUUGAUCAUGGCUCAGAUUGAACGCUGGCGGCAGGCCUAACACAUGCAAGUCGAGCGGUAGCACAGAGAGCUUGCUCUCGGGUGACGAGCGGCGGACGGGUGAGUAAUGUCUGGGAAACUGCCUGAUGGAGGGGGAUAACUACUGGAAACGGUAGCUAAUACCGCAUAAUGUCGCAAGACCAAAGUGGGGGACCUUCGGGCCUCAUGCCAUCAGAUGUGCCCAGAUGGGAUUAGCUAGUAGGUGGGGUAAUGGCUCACCUAGGCGACGAUCCCUAGCUGGUCUGAGAGGAUGACCAGCCACACUGGAACUGAGACACGGUCCAGACUCCUACGGGAGGCAGCAGUGGGGAAUAUUGCACAAUGGGCGCAAGCCUGAUGCAGCCAUGCCGCGUGUGUGAAGAAGGCCUUCGGGUUGUAAAGCACUUUCAGCGGGGAGGAAGGCGGUGAGGUUAAUAACCUCACCGAUUGACGUUACCCGCAGAAGAAGCACCGGCUAACUCCGUGCCAGCAGCCGCGGUAAUACGGAGGGUGCAAGCGUUAAUCGGAAUUACUGGGCGUAAAGCGCACGCAGGCGGUCUGUCAAGUCGGAUGUGAAAUCCCCGGGCUUAACCUGGGAACUGCAUUCGAAACUGGCAGGCUAGAGUCUUGUAGAGGGGGGUAGAAUUCCAGGUGUAGCGGUGAAAUGCGUAGAGAUCUGGAGGAAUACCGGUGGCGAAGGCGGCCCCCUGGACAAAGACUGACGCUCAGGUGCGAAAGCGUGGGGAGCAAACAGGAUUAGAUACCCUGGUAGUCCACGCCGUAAACGAUGUCGAUUUGGAGGUUGUGCCCUUGAGGCGUGGCUUCCGGAGCUAACGCGUUAAAUCGACCGCCUGGGGAGUACGGCCGCAAGGUUAAAACUCAAAUGAAUUGACGGGGGCCCGCACAAGCGGUGGAGCAUGUGGUUUAAUUCGAUGCAACGCGAAGAACCUUACCUGGUCUUGACAUCCACAGAACUUUCCAGAGAUGGAUUGGUGCCUUCGGGAACUGUGAGACAGGUGCUGCAUGGCUGUCGUCAGCUCGUGUUGUGAAAUGUUGGGUUAAGUCCCGCAACGAGCGCAACCCUUAUCCUUUGUUGCCAGCGGUUAGGCCGGGAACUCAAAGGAGACUGCCAGUGAUAAACUGGAGGAAGGUGGGGAUGACGUCAAGUCAUCAUGGCCCUUACGACCAGGGCUACACACGUGCUACAAUGGCAUAUACAAAGAGAAGCGACCUCGCGAGAGCAAGCGGACCUCAUAAAGUAUGUCGUAGUCCGGAUUGGAGUCUGCAACUCGACUCCAUGAAGUCGGAAUCGCUAGUAAUCGUAGAUCAGAAUGCUACGGUGAAUACGUUCCCGGGCCUUGUACACACCGCCCGUCACACCAUGGGAGUGGGUUGCAAAAGAAGUAGGUAGCUUAACCUUCGGGAGGGCGCUUACCACUUUGUGAUUCAUGACUGGGGUGAAGUCGUAACAAGGUAACCGUAGGGGAACCUGCGGUUGGAUCACCUCCUUA
rnacentral:rRNA from 1 species